GGCGGUGUAGCUCAGCUGGUUAGAGCGGCGGAUUCAUAAGCCGUAGGUCGUGGGUUCGAGUCCCUCCACCGCUA
rnacentral:tRNA from 1 species